AAGAUGUAUUCCUAUAAAGGAUCCUGAAAUAGUCCGAACAUCUCAGGAUGAGGGUGAGUUACAUUUUUUUUGUAAGUAUAAACUUGAGAUAAGUUGGAGUAUGGAAAGAUUAAUGCCUUUUCUUUAAUAGCAGUGUUUGAUCCAAGACCACAGAAAUGAUGUGAGUACCCAAGCGAAGUCCAGAAAGGAUUGUUGUCCACUAUUAAUAGCCUGGUGGAUCAAGGAGUGCCAGUGCAAUGACCCACUCUUUCAACAUCCUCAAAGGCAUCUAAUUGUUCAGGACAUACUGAGUAUCUGCACUUACAGAAAUCAAGCCUCAAGUGGAACUCCCCUGAAAGCAAGGCACCGGGAAGCCAAGAUUAGUUUUCAGAAAUUUCAAGGUGAGAUCAGUAUCUGGAACCAUGAUGCAAUUUAUGCUGUUAUCAUUUCAUGAACUUCUGCAAAUCUGCUCCUGAUAAUGUAUUAUAAUAAUACUGAUGAUCAGAACUGGAUUUGAAAAUUCAUGAAGACUGACGUCAGCUGCCACUGU
rnacentral:lncRNA from 1 species